UAGGGAAUCUUCGGCAAUGGGGGCAACCCUGACCGAGCAACGCCGCGUGAGUGAAGAAGGUUUUCGGAUCGUAAAGCUCUGUUGUAAGUCAAGAACGGGUGUGAGAGUGGAAAGUUCACACUGUGACGGUAGCUUACCAGAAAGGGACGGCUAACUACGUGCCAGCAGCCGCGGUAAUACGUAGGUCCCGAGCGUUGUCCGGAUUUAUUGGGCGUAAAGCGAGCGCAGGCGGUUUGAUAAGUCUGAAGUUAAAGGCUGUGGCUCAACCAUAGUUCGCUUUGGAAACUGUCAAACUUGAGUGCAGAAGGGGAGAGUGGAAUUCCAUGUGUAGCGGUGAAAUGCGUAGAUAUAUGGAGGAACACCGGUGGCGAAAGCGGCUCUCUGGUCUGUAACUGACGCUGAGGCUCGAAAGCGUGGGGAGCGAACAGGAUUAGAUACCCUGGUAGUCCACGCCGUAAACGAUGAGUGCUAGGUGUUGGAUCCUUUCCGGGAUUCAGUGCCGAAGCUAACGCAUUAAGCA
rnacentral:rRNA from 1 species